ensembl:snoRNA Gm24246 predicted gene, 24246
CCUGCCCAAAGAGGUGUUUCAGAUACGGUCUUUGUGUAACAUGUACAUCAGUAAAUGGCAGAGAGAAGAAAGACGAUGUCUAAACUGAAUGUUCUGACCUAUGAACAUCUGAAUCAUUAGUAGCUUAACAUU